rnacentral:ncRNA from 1 species
CGGGUGAAAGCCGAAAAACCCAAAAGAGUAGGCA